rnacentral:lncRNA from 1 species
UAUAUAUAUAUAUAUAUAUAUAUAUGCAAUAAUUAUAACGAUAGAGAAUAUGGAGACUGGUACAUCCUCAAAAUAUAUUCCCUUUUAUUUUACAAUGUCACACAGCAUAUUUUUAUGGUUACGACAACCUACACGUGUUUCCAAUAUACAUAU